rnacentral:misc_RNA from 1 species
AGGUGAACCUGCGGAAGGAUCAUUACUGAACAUCAACCUGGGUUGGGUUGUCGCCACGAUUCCUGGGAUGGCACACCCUGCCCUGCUUUCCACCCCACCACCCCCGUACUGAUACGUGAAAUGUGCCUGUGGCUGGCCCAGCAGCCCGCAGGCUGUGGCAUCUCGGCUGAACCAGGAUGCUUCCCCAGGAUAAAAUGCCCAAGCACUGGCUUGGCAUCUUCCUGGGCCAUCGCGGUCUACGGGGGGCUCUUCUCUAUCAAACCCCAUUCAUAUAUAUGUUGUGUUGCUUUUCUUUCAAUGUAACUAUUGAAUAACUACAGCAACUUUCGACAACGGAUCUCUUGGCUCUCG